rnacentral:rRNA from 1 species
UACGUAGGGUGCAGGCGUUAAUCGGAAUUACUGGGCGUAAAGCGUGCGCAGGCGGCUUCUCAAGUCAGAUGUGAAAUCCCCGGGCUUAACCUGGGAACUGCGUUUGUGACUGCAUGGCUAGAGUUUGUCAGAGGGGGGUGGAAUUCCACGUGUAGCAGUGAAAUGCGUAGAUAUGUGGAGGAACACCGAUGGCGAAGGCAGCCCCCUGGGAUGUGACUGACGCUCAUGUACGAAAGCGUGGGGAGCAAACAGG